UGCUAUUCCGCAUGUGGAGCACGUCAUGA
rnacentral:piRNA from 1 species